rnacentral:rRNA from 1 species
UACAGAGGUGGCAAGCGUUGUUCGGAAUUACUGGGCGUAAAGGGCGCGUAGGCGGCCAUCUAAGUCAGACGUGAAAUCCCCCGGCUUAACCUGGGAACUGCGUCUGAUACUGGACGGCUGGAGUUUGGGAGAGGGAUGUAGAAUUCCAGGUGUAGCGGUGAAAUGCGUAGAUAUCUGGAGGAAUACCGGUGGCGAAGGCGGCAUCCUGGACCGGCAUUGACGCUGAGGAGCGAAAGCUAGGGGAGCAAACGGG